UACGGAGGGUGCAAGCGUUAUCCGGAUUCACUGGGUUUAAAGGGCGCGUAGGCGGGCAGGUAAGUCAGUGGUGAAAUCUCCAAGCUUAACUUGGAAACUGCCGUUGAUACUAUCUGUCUUGAAUAUUGUGGAGGUGAGCGGAAUAUGUCAUGUAGCGGUGAAAUGCUUAGAUAUGACAUAGAACACCAAUUGCGAAGGCAGCUCACUACUCAAUCAUUGACUCUGAGGCACGAAAGCGUGGGGAUCAAACAGG
rnacentral:rRNA from 1 species